rnacentral:rRNA from 1 species
CCCUUAGAUGUUCUGGGCCGCACGCGUGCUACACUGAGUAAUUCAAUGGGUAAGGGAACGCUAGAGCAUUACCUAAUCUUGAAAUUUGCUCGUGAUGGGGAUCGACGGUUGCAAUUUUCCGUCGUGAACGAGGAAUACCUUGUAGGCGCAUGUCAUCAUCAUGCGCCGAGUACGUCCCUGCCCUUUGUACACACCGCCCGUCGCUCCUACCGAUUGAGUGAUCCGGUGAGGCUCUGGGACCUGGACGGAAAGAGCGUUUCGCUUGUUCUGUUUGGGAAACUUGGUCGAACCUUAUCAUUUAGAGGAAGGAGAAGUCGUAACA